GAGAAAGCUUAAGGGAUGUGUAAAAUGCCAUGGCAGAAAACAGUCAGGUAGUUAUUUACUUCUAAAGGCAUGGAAGAUGUGAGACCUAAAAGCAAUGAAAGGAAAUAACAUAAUGCAAUAUCCUAUUGAUCUGUGGGAUUUUCUACUGCUUAAGAUGAUGGCACCACAAGCAAUGUUUGUAGUUGUACUAACUAGAAUUAAAAUAAUUAUAGGAUGGAAACAAACCAUGACAAAAACUCCUUAGGGUUUAAAGCUUUCUGCCUCUCACUUGUUGGCUGAUGGGGUCCAGGGGUUUCUGCCAUUGUUGAAUAUUGCUGCAAUGCCCAGUUAUAUGUGCUGUGAGGGUUUUGUGUCUCACUCUGGAGCCACUGGUAACAUUUCCUGGGUAGGCUGAGUGCCAGGUCCUUGGCUGGCAGAAAUCAAUCAGUGCUGCUGACUCUGGGAACCACCUGCCCCGCCACGGGCUCCCUCCCCUCAGCACCAGUGGGGAGCUCACACAUGAAAUAAAAUCAGGAUAUGUCCAGCUAAGAGGGAAGGAAAGGAAAGAAACCCCUGCUUCUGCUAGGGGGAUAAACAGCCUGGCAUCCCAAAGCAAGACAGGUGCUGAGACUUGGAUAGCACAAGGUAGCAGGGAAGGGGUGGUGUGAUCAGUAGCACAAUUAGUAAAAGAUUCAUUUUAAUUAUGGUGUGUUAACAGAGCUGUAGUGGAAAGCAUUUUCCUUAAUUCAAGCCCUAGUUAAUGCAGGGCUGUAAUCACUAGCCCAGGUGACAGAAUCUGUGUGAGAGCUGGGGGACAGGUGACAGUAAGGACACAGCUCGACCUCUCCCUAAGCACCAUUGCUGUGUGCACUAGAACAGCUUACUUUGAGGAUUCUGCUUUUAUUUCUUCCUUUUUCAGGGUGAAGAGAGGGUCAGGUUCUUCAGAAGCUGGGGAGUGGGCUCCUGGCCUCACCACCCUCAGAGCUUCCAAGGUAUCCAUGUCCAGGCUGAGUACUGAAGGCCUUGCUGCUUGUUUGAAGUAAUAGGUAACAAUUCGGAUGAUUUCUUUUCAGGAUGCAGCAAAGUGCCCAUUACACUUCAGGCCAAAUAUAUUUUCUGCUAUUGGAAAGAAAAAAAAAUUAAAAAUAAAAUCCAGUGACUGGAGGAAUCAGGGAAUUUUUUCAUGGGAAGGUUUGACUACUUUAUCUUGCAUUAAAGCUGAUCAGUGAGGACUCAGGUUGCAUCAUCCUUCAUAAAAAAAAAUCCAGCUCACAGGAACAGCUUCUUCUCCAGUGAUAUCAACUGGAGAUAUCCAGUGCUGCUUCAACAGGCAGGUCCUGGAAACCUCACAGGAAUUUAAAAAAGCCCCAAAGUUACUCCAUCAGCCCUCUGUGAGGUGAUGCAUAACAGUUAUUAAUGAGAACAAGGCAGUCCACAAAAGACUGAUGCCUUUCUUCCUGCAUCCCUGUUUUCUUCCCCCAACCCCAAUAUCCUUCUGUACCCUUGGAUCUUACCAAGCAGUCAUGAAUCAGACCUGUGGGUCUUCUCUUCACAGUAACAAAUGGUCAGGAGGCCAGGUGGGAGCUGAGAUUUGUGCUACAGACUUUCACACAGGCAGGGAAACGGGCUUCAGUUAAAUACUCACAGGACUGGCUGUGGAAAAAAGCCUUAAAAUCUGUCUUCUCGGUUUUCAGCUGCACAUCUAGGAGCAGGCACUCUUAAGGCUCUGCAUUUUUAUCCACCAGCCCAAAAACGUGUGAAGGAACUAUUCCUGUCAGAGCCAGUUUUUAGAAAUCUCUAAAACUAUAAGUUUCUCCAAAGUGUUGCAGUUCAGGACUCUUGGAAAUUCCGCCGUGGCAAUGUGAUCACAGGAGAAGUGGGGGUUGGAAGAAAUUAAAGGGGAUUCUAAUGAAGAAAUACCCAAUUUUGCAGCUUGGACUCAAGAGGUCACAGCAAUGUCCCCCUGUAGUGACCUCUGCAUCUCUGGGUAGCUCAGGAGCCAGCCAGAGCUCACUUUAAGGAACACACCUGUGACCAGGCAUUUUCUGACUCAUUUUCCCUCAGGUACCUCGUUGGAAGGAGGAAAGUUAAUCCCAGACAUGGAAUGGAGAUGGGAAAGGUCUGGACUUCAAGCCAGUGAAGGGGGUUGAGUUUUUUUGUUUGUUUUGAGUGUAAGCAGAGUAGGCCUUCCAUGCUGCUUCACAAAAUGGAUUCAUACCUUUUCCCUUCCAAAGGGAACUAAACCAAAGACUUUUUUAUCUCCCCCACCUAAAUAUUCUCUUGCAAACUUCCUAAAUAAAUUGCAGGUUUACUAAAGGUCCAGC